GACGUACCUCCAGGGUUUUCGACUUCAGAUUCAAAUCCGGUUACAAUCAAGCACAAAGUUGAUGGCGAUGGUGGAUGUGCAGUGGAUGACGUCGAUCAUCUUCCGUUGAAGGAACGGAUGAGAAUGCUGUCUGUUGGUGGGCUAUCUGGUUCAUCCUCAGGCAUUGAGUUGAGAGGAAGAGUUCCAACGUUAGUAUUUGGUUUUUCUUUAAGUGUUCUGUUUUUGAAUCUUUUGUGUUCUAUAGUGAAAUGGGGUGGAGUUGAUUUUAGGAACUUAUGUGAGGUUUGGUGGCAAGUGUUGCGUUGAUGAGGCUGUUUUAGAAGAAGCUCACUCUUUAAAGACAAGCUUAAAUAGGUCAAUAGCUGAGGAGAACAUGUCAACUUCACAAGCAUACGUAUCAAAAAAUGCAGGAACUUCUUCGUCGUCAAAAAAUAAGCUUGUGAUAACCUUAAAUGCAUUUGGACAACUUGUGGGCGAACACUCGCAUAGGUUGGCUACAAGAAGUGGAGAUCUAGUUCGCACCUAUGUCUCUAUUGCCAUCAAAGAUUGACGUGCAGUGCCAAAAAGUAAGAAAGAAGAAUUUUGGAAGCUCUUACAGGACGAGUUUGUUAUUCCUUAGUCUUACAAGGAUAAAUGCUUUAAAAGCAUGUCUGAGGUCUUUAGGAAGUACAAGACCAAAUUGAGGACGAAGUACCUUGAUCCCCAUACAAAUCAUGAUGAUAAAUUAAACAACUGUCCAUCAAGAGUUAGGCUUGAAGAUUGGGAAUCGUUCAUUCCACAUAAUUUGGAUCCCAAAACUGUAGAACAAAGGAAAAAAUGUUGAGAAUAGGAAGAAUAUGAAAAUUUACCAUACGAGUGGCAGGCGUGGCCACGCGAGAAUCAAGGAAGAAAUGAAACGCCAAAAGAAAGAUGGUGACACCCCCAUUAGUAGAUUGUAUAAUAUUGCAGGACAAAGUCAAAGAGUUACUUUCUAGCCAAGGAAGUAAUUCACACGACAUCCUCAACGAUCCAUUAACUCAAGUGUUUGGUCCUGAUACAAGGGGUCGUGUUGGAGGUGUUGGGACCACCAUUUCCCGAACACAAAUCAGGGGGUGCGUUGCAGCUCUUGAAAAGAUAUCUUCAUAUAAGGGAAAAAUAGACGAGCAAUCAUCCACAAUUCAAGAGCUAUCGUCUAAAGUAAAUUUUCUUAUGUGAGAAAUUGGGGGUAUCAAAGAGAUGAUGCAGCAGCGCAUGACUUCAGGCUUCAAAGCAAACACAUCGGUUCAUCCGGAGAAUCCACAAUCGACUGGUGUACCUUCAGUUGGGAAUCAUCAAUGUGUAGAGAGAAUGCGUCCAUGCAAGUUGUACUCUUGGCGUAGAGAGCUCGUUGCUCAAGGGAGAGUUGUUUUGGUAGAUGGGCCCCCCAAAUGAUUCAUGGCAAACCUCUUCGGGAAGAUUCAUACAAGGUUGCCAUUGAUAUCAUUGUGAAAGGAGAUGUCGAAUUGCCUGAGCCAAAUGGAUAUCAUCUGACUUUAGGCGAAGUUGGAACUGGGUCAUUUGUUGCAUGGCAUCAUCACUUUGUUUGGUUCACCGAUUAGAGUCUAUUGUGCUGUCUGUUGGAGUUGGACAAUUCACCUUUUUGUGCAAUUCUAUUAAACUUUUAUUUUAAUUAAUGUUUUCUGAAUUCAGUAGUUCUUUGUUCUUUCCCUUUUGAAUGUCUGUCAUUUAUAUUCUCUGUUUGAAGGUUGUGUUUUGAUCUGUUCUAACCUUUCAAAUAUGCAGUACUUACAACAGCACUAACUUCUGACAAUUUUUGAACCAGGUGCAUGAAAUUUUGCAGAGAAUACAUGAAAGAAAGCUCGUCAAUUUCAUUGAGUGGGCCCCUGCUAGCAUGCAGGUUUAUAUCCACUUAAGCAAAGUUCAACUUGAUUUAAUUUAGUCCCUCCUGCCUCAUUUUUUUGGGUAUCACAUCGUUCACAUGAUUCUUUUGCAGGUUGCCUUGUCUAGAAAAUCUCCAUAUGUUCAAACAGCUCAUAGAAUAAGAACUGCUGGUUUUCUUUAGUUAAAUCUCUAUUUGUAUCCAACAACUGUACUUAGUUCUUGACUUCAUGUACUCUUCCUAAAACUUAGCAACUUUAUUGAAAUUUCUUCCGGUCAUGAAUUUUGAUUUUUAAACUCAACUGUUUUAUUUCUUUUGGUUGGAUUACCAAAAUGCUUAAAAUAGAUAUUUGAAGGAUUCAUUUUUUUUUUUUUUUAAUGUUUCCACACUCUUUAAUAGGU